UAAAACCAAACGAGGGUCCUUUUUUUAACYAUUUCCAUGUUUAAUGAGGAAUUUGAGCCCGAAAAUGGUUUACUAACAAGCAUACAGUAGCUUUGCGUCGAAAAAGAAGAGUACACAUGGGAAUGCAACUGUACUUACAGAAAAAUCAGCAGUAGAAAAUGUAAGUCAAGCUGUAGAUGCACUUUUUUUGAGAAUGUUGUUUUAUGUAGGCGAAAAGAGCCWGUCAUUUGAAACAACCACCAGCUACUAGCAUAUUUAAAGCUUGRUGCACUUACAUCGCCCUGGCUAACGGAURUUCAGAAU